UCCGUAGGCGGUUUAGUAAGUCGGAUGUGAAAUCCCUGAGCUUAACUUAGGAAUUGCAUUCGAUACUGGAAAGCUAGAGUAUGGGAGAGGAUGGUAGAAUUCCAGGUGUAGCGGUGAAAUGCGUAGAGAUCUGGAGGAAUACCGAUGGCGAAGGCAGCCAUCUGGCCUAAUACUGACGCUGAGGUACGAAAGCAUGGGGAGCAAACAGGAUUAGAUACCCCCGUA
rnacentral:rRNA from 1 species